rnacentral:rRNA from 1 species
AAAUCUCGUGAUAAGGGAAUCUCGAGUGCCAGCAUAUAAUGUUGGCUGUCCAGAUGCCUAAAAAGCAUCUGUUAGCAAGGGCCGGGCAAGACCGGUGCCAGCCGCCGCGGUAACACCGGCGGCCCGAGUGGUAACCGCUUUUAUUGGGUCUAAAAGGUCUGUAGCCGGCCAAGUAAGUCCCUUGGGAAAUCUGGCAGCUUAACUGUCAGGCUGCUAGGGGAUACUGCUAGGCUUGGGACCGGGAGAGGUGAGAGGUACCUUGGGGGUAGGGGUGAAAUCUUGUGAUCCUCGGGGGACCACCAGUGGCGAAGGCGUCUCACCAGAACGGGUCCGACGGUAAGGGACGAAAGCUAGGGGCACGAACCGGAUUAGAUACCCGGGCAGUCCUAGCCGUAAACGAUGCUCGCUAGGUGUCAGUCACGGUGCGACCGUGAUUGGUGCCGUAGGGAAGCCGUGAAGCGAGCCACCUGGGAAGUAUAGCCGCAAGGCUGAAACUUAGAGGAAUUGGCGGGGGAGCAC